rnacentral:rRNA from 1 species
GACAGAGGGUGCAAGCGUUGUUCGGAAUUAUUGGGCGUAAAGCGCACGUAGGCGGUCAUGUGUGUCGGAUGUGAAAGCCCAGGGCUCAACCUUGGAAGUGCAUCCGAAACUGCGUGACUUGAGUCCCGGAGAGGGUGGUGGAAUUCCUGGUGUAGAGGUGAAAUUCGUAGAUAUCAGGAGGAACACCUGUGGCGAAGGCGGCCACCUGGACGGAGACUGACGCUGAGGUGCGAAAGCGUGGGGAGCAAACAGG